GAAUGCUCUGGCAUAUUGAACUGUAAAGUGCUCUGUCCUGCGCCAUAAUAGACGCAAAGACAUAAGUACACAGCAGGGAGAUGGGUGAAUGAGUGAAGAUUGCCAACCUGUAUUAGGGCAUGGUUAGCACCCAUAAAUAUUGAGAAUAAGAUCCUUGCCCCAACAACCGCCCAGCCAUGCCUAAAUACCUGUGUGCCCAGCAAAACAUGCCCAUGGCCCCAUGCAUGCCAAGGUGAUGUACACGUGAUUGUGGGAUGGGCUGUGCCCACUCACUCCUCACAUGCUGUAGCAGUCGCUCACCUGACGGGAGGACUGACAGAGCGGAAGCGUGGAGUUAUUAGUCCUCGUCGAUGUAGGAAGAAGUCCAACCAAGCGGCAAGCACUAGCGUACAUAAGAUGUGUACGUAACGGUUAGAGACGGCGGCAGCGGAGUCUUGAACUCCGAACACCUAGUAAUGUGAUACGUCAGUGUCUGGCCAGAACACCCCGCCCGGGUAGCUUGUAUCUCGGCCUACCUGCCAGAUAAUCUCUACUACGGACCUUGCCGUACUAAGAUAAUGUUGGUGGGGCCCGGGGCCCCAGCCCGUUAGAUUCGCUUACGAACAACUGCCCAGUUCGCGACAUGUGACGAAACUCGGAACAUGUACGAAACUUGAGUCAGAUCGUUUAACAAAUUAACAGUUAUUGUUAAAAGUAAUCGUUAAAAUAUUCUAAGGG
rnacentral:lncRNA from 1 species